GAGGCGUACCGGGGGAACUGAACCAUCUAAGUACCCCGAGGAAAAGAAAUCAACCGAGAUUCCGAAAGUAGCGGCGAGCGAAAUUGGACUAGCCCUUAAGCUUUACACGCGUUAGACGAACGGGCUGGAAAGUCCGACGAUACAGGGUGAUAGUCCCGUAGUUGACGACGUGUGUUCAGUGAAAUCGAGUAGGGCGGGACACGUGAUAUCCUGUCUGAAUAUGGGGGGACCAUCCUCCAAGGCUAAAUACU
rnacentral:rRNA from 1 species